rnacentral:rRNA from 1 species
GAUGAACGCUGGCGGCGUGCCUAAUACAUGCGAGUCGAGCGAACAGACGAGGAGCUUGCUCCUCUGACGUUAGCGGCGGACGGGUGAGUAACACGUGGAUAACCUACCUAUAAGACUGGGAUAACUUCGGGAAACCGGAGCUAAUACCGGAUAAUAUAUUGAACCGCAUGGUUCAAUAGUGAAAGACGGUUUUGCUGUCACUUAUAGAUGGAUCCGCGCCGCAUUAGCUAGUUGGUAAGGUAACGGCUUACCAAGGCAACGAUGCGUAGCCGACCUGAGAGGGUGAUCGGCCACACUGGAACUGGGACACGGUCCAGACUCCUACGGGAGGCAGCAGUCGGGAAUCUUCCGCAAUGGGCGAAAGCCUGACGGAGCAACGCCGCGUGAGUGAUGAAGGUCUUCGGAUCGUAAAACUCUGUUAUUAGGGAAGAACAAAUGUGUAAGUAACUAUGCACGUCUUGACGGUACCUAAUCAGAAAGCCACGGCUAACUACGUG